CCGGGGGAGAGCAGGAUACGAAGGAAGCCGACACAGGCGGGGGGGAGCCUGGUUGUCAGGUCAACGGUGGAGGAUGAGUAACAAGUGGGUGAGAUGCCUGUAAAAGUGGGGGAAUUUUGGAAAAAGGGGCUAAUACCGGAUGCUUGAUUGAACCGAAUGGUUCAAUCAAAAAAGGGGGCUCUUACCUACCAAUGACCCAUGGACCCACGGCGCAUUAGCUAGUUGGUGAGGUAACGGCUCACCAAGGCGACAAUUCGUAGCCGACCUGAGAGGGUGAUCGGCCACACUGGGACUGAGACACGGCCCAAACUCCUACGGGAGGCAGCAAUAGGGAAUCUUCCGCAAUGGACGAAAGUCUGACGGAGCAACGCCUCGUGAGUGAUGAAGGUUUUCGGAUCGUAAAACUCUGUUGUUAGGGAAAAACAAGUACCGUUCGAAUAGGGCGGCACCUUGACGGUACCUAACCAGAAAGCCACGGCUAACUACGUGCCAGCAGCCGCGGUAAUACGUAGGUGGCAAGCGUUGUCCGGAAUUAUUGGGCGUAAAGCGCGCGCAGGCGGUUUCUUAAGUCUGAUGUGAAAGCCCCCGGCUCAACCGGGGAGGGUCAUUGGAAACUGGGGAACUUGAGUGCAGAAGAGGAGAGUGGAAUUCCACGUGUAGCGGUGAAAUGCGUAGAGAUGUGGAGGAACACCAGUGGCGAAGGCGACUCCCCUGGUCUGUAACUGACGCUGAGGCGCGAAAGCGUGGGGAGCGAACAGGAUUAGAUACCCUGGUAGUCCACGCCGUAAACGAUGAGUGCUAAGUGUUAGAGGCUUUCCGCCCUUUAGUGCUGCAGCAAACGCAUUAAGCACUCCGCCUGGGGAGUACGGUCGCAAGAUUGAAACUCAAAGGAAUUGACGGGGGCCCGCACAAGCGGUGGAGCAUGUGGUUUAAUUCGAAGCAACGGGAAGACCCUUCCCAGGUCUUGACAUCCUAUGACAACCCAAGAGAUAGGGCUUCCCCUUCGGGGGCAGAGUGCCAGGUGGUGCAUGGUGGUCGUCAGCUCGUGUCGUGAGAUGUUGGGUUAAGUCCCGCAACGAGCGCAACCCUUGCUUUUAGUUGCCAGCAUUCAGUUGGGCACUCUAAGGUGACUGCCGGUGACAAACCGGAGGAAGGUGGGGAUGACGUCAAAUCAUCAUGCCCCUUAUGACUUGGGCUACACACGUGCUACAAUGGGCAGAACAAAGGGCAGCGAAGCCGCGAGGCUAAGCCAAUCCCACAAAUCUGUUCUCAGUUCGGAUCGCAGUCUGCAACUCGACUGCGUGAAGUGGAAUCGCUAGUAAUCGCGGAUCAGCAUGCCGCGGUGAAUACGUUCCCGGGCCUGUACACACCGCCCGUCACACCCCGAGAGUGGUAACACCCGAGUCCUUUAUUUGCUCCUGCUGCCAGUACGCGGCGCUUCGGCAACCUU
rnacentral:rRNA from 1 species